GUCAGAGGUGAAAUUCUUGGAUUACGGGAAGAUGAACCACUGCGAAAGCAUUUGCCAAGGAUGUUUUCAUUAAUCAAGAACGAAAGUUGGGGGCUCGAAGAUGAUUAGAUACCAUCCUAGUCUCAACCAUAAACGAUGCCGACUAGGGAUUGGCGGAUGUUAAUUUGAUGACUUCGCCAGCACCUUAUGAGAAAUCAAAGUUUUUGGGUUCCGGGGGGAGUAUGGUCGCAAGGCUGAAACUUAAAGGAAUUGACGGAAGGGCACCACCAGGAGUGGAGCCUGCGGCUUAAUUUGACUCAACACGGAGAAACUUACCAGACCAAGACAUCAUUGAGGAUUGACAGACGAGGAGGUUUUUCGAGAUAGGAUGGGAGGUGGUGCAUGGCCGUUCUUAGUUGGUGGAGUGAUUUGUCAGGUUAAUUCCGAUAACGAACGAGAUUUUAGUGGAAGAGACGUCUCUCGUUUUGAAAGAAAGGGGAGAUGGUUAUUUCAGAUGGAUAGGAAAAUAAACUAUAGGAAGAUUAAAGUGAUAACAGGUCUGUGAUGCCCUUAGAUGGUUUGGGCUGCACGCGUGCUACAAUGAUAGAGACAGAGAUCCACCAAGAGAGUAAAGUCUUUUGGAUUGACGCAUCGAAGGAUGGGUUGAAAGGAUGGAGAAUCUAUUCAUGUUAGGGGAUUAACGAUUGGAAUUAUUCGUUAUGAACACGGAAUGCCUAGUAAGUAUAAGUCAACAGGUUAUAUUGAUUAGGUCCCUGCCUCUUGUACACACCGCCCGUCGCUGCUACCGAUUGAAUAGUAAAUGUGAAAUGGGAGGACUCGGCCAAGUCGUUCGUUUGUUUGAUUUGGAAGAGGAAAACUAUUGAAUGUUUAUAUUUAGAGGAAGCAAAAGUCGUAACAAGGUUUCCGUAGGUGAACCUGCGGAAGGAUCAAU
rnacentral:rRNA from 14 species